UUUCUACUCCCUCCGUCCGAAGAUACUUGUCAUCAAAAUGGAUAAAAAUAGAUGUAUCUAAAACUAAAAUACGUCUAUAUACAUUUCCUUUUAUCCAUUUUGAUGACAAGUAUUUCCAGACGGAGGGAGUAUUUG
rnacentral:pre_miRNA from 1 species